GUCAGAGGUGAAAUUCUUGGAUUUAUGGAAGACAUACAGCUGCGAAAGCGUUUGGCAAGGAUAUACCCAUUGAUCAAGGACGAAAGUUAGGGGAUCGAAGACGAUUAGAUACCGUCGUAGUCUUAACCAUAAACGAUGCCAUCUAAGAGAUGGUGUCAUCCUUUUUUUCCGGGAAACCAAAGCUUUUGGGUUCUGGGGGGAGUAUGAUCGCAAGUCUGAAACUUAAAGGAAUUGACGGAAGGGCACCACCAGGAGUGGAGCCUGCGGCUUAAUUUGACUCAACACGGGGCAACUUACCAGGUCCGGACAUUUUUAUGAUUGACAGAUUGAUAGCUCUUUCUUGAUUGAAUGGGUGGUGGUGCAUGGCCGUUCUUAGUUGGUGGAGUGAUUUGUCUGGUUAAUUCCGUUAACGAACGAGACCUUUUUCCUGCUAACUAGUUAACUUCUUAGAGGUACUAUUCGUUUUUCACGGAUGGAAGUUGUAGGCAAUAACAGGUCUGUGAUGCCCUUUGAUGUCCUGGGCUGCACGCGGGCUACACUGAUGCAUUCAAAGAGUUCUGACAAGAGUUAUUUUGGGUAAUCUUUGAAAGUGCAUCGUGCUUGGGAUUGAAUUCUGUAACUGUAUUCAUGAACGAGGAAUUCCUUGUAAACGCGAGUCAUCAACUUGCGUUGAUUACGUCCCUGCCCUU
rnacentral:rRNA from 1 species